rnacentral:tRNA from 1 species
GACCCUGUCGUCUAAGCGGAUAGGAUAAGGGACUUUCAAUCCCUUGGUCGGGGUUCAAAUCCCCGCAGGGUCG